GGAGGCUGCAAGCGUUAUCCGGAUUCACUGGGUUUAAAGGGUGCGUAGGUGGGUUGGUAAGUCAGUGGUGAAAUCUCCGGGCUUAACUCGGAAACUGCCGUUGAUACUAUCAAUCUUGAAUCUCGUGGAGGUAAGCGGAAUAUGUCAUGUAGCGGUGAAAUGCUUAGAUAUGACAUAGAACACCGAUAGCGAAGGCAGCUUGCUACACGAGUAUUGACACUGAGGCACGAAAGCGUGGGGAUCAAACAGGAUUAGAUACCCUGGUAGUCCACGCCCUAAACGAUGGAUACUCGACAUACGCGAUACACAGUGUGUGUCUGAGCGAAAGCAUUAAGUAUCCCACCUGGGAAGUACGACCGCAAGGUUG
rnacentral:rRNA from 1 species